GGAUCCAGACUUUGAUUAUGGCUCAGGAUGAACGCUAGCGGCAGGCUUAACACAUGCAAGUCGAGGGGCAGCGCGGGGCGGCAACGUCCUGGCGGCGACCGGCGGAAGGGUGCGUAACGCGUGAGCGACAUGCCCGUUGCCCGGGGACAACCGGUGGAAACGCCGACUAAUCCCCGAUGGGACGGAGGCCCUCAUGGGUCUCUGUUGAAAGUUACGGCGGCGACGGAUUGGCUUGCGUCCGAUUAGCUUGUUGGCGGGGUAACGGCCCACCAAGGCUACGAUCGGUAGGGGUUCUGAGAGGAAGGUCCCCCACAAUGGAACUGAGACACGGUCCAUACUCCUACGGGAGGCAGCAGUGAGGAAUAUUGGUCAAUGGGCGGAAGCCUGAACCAGCCAUGCCGCGUGCGGGAAGGAGGCCCUAUGGGCUGUGAACCGCUUUUGCCUGGGGGCAAUAAGGGCGUCGCGCACGUCCGAUGAGAGUACCAGGGGAAUAAGCAUCGGCUAACUCCGUGCCAGCAGCCGCGGUAAUACGGGGGAUGCGAGCGUUAUCCGGAUUCAUUGGGUUUAAAGGGUGCGUAGGCUGUGCGUCAAGUCAGGGGUGAAAUUCCGGGGCUCAACUCCGGGGCUGCCCUUGAUACUGUCGCGCUGGAGUGCGGAUGCCGCCGGAGGAAUGAGUGGUGUAGCGGUGAAAUGCUUAGAUAUCACUCAGAACACCGAUUGCGAAGGCAUCUGGCGAAUCCGUAACUGACGCUGAGGCACGAAAGCGUGGGGAUAGAACAGGAUUAGAUACCCUGGUAUUCCACGCCGUAAACGAUGAUGGCUAACCGCCGGCGACAUACUGUCGGUGGCCAAGCGAAAGCGAUAAGCCAUCCACCUGGGGAGUACGUCGGCAACGAUGCAACUCAAAGGAAUUGACGG
rnacentral:rRNA from 1 species